GACGUAGGGCGCGAGCGUUGUCCGGAUUUAUUGGGCGUAAAGAGCUCGUAGGCGGUCUGUCGCGUCCGUUGUGAAAACUCGAGGCUCAACCUCGGGCUUGCAGUGGAUACGGGCAGACUAGAGUGCGGUAGGGGAGACUGGAAUUCCUGGUGUAGCGGUGGAAUGCGCAGAUAUCAGGAGGAACACCGAUGGCGAAGGCAGGUCUCUGGGCCGCAACUGACGCUGGAGGAAGCGAAAGCAUGGGGAGCGAACAGG
rnacentral:rRNA from 1 species